AGAUGGCGACCGGCGCACGGGUGAGUAACACGUAUCCAACCUGCCGAUAACUCGGGGAUAGCCUUUCGAAAGAAAGAUUAAUACCCGAUGGUAUAAUCAGACCGCAUGGUCUUGUUAUUAAAGAAUUUCGGUUAUCGAUGGGGAUGCGUUCCAUUAGGCAGUUGGUGAGGUAACGGCUCGCCAAACCUUCGAUGGAUAGGGGUUCUGAGAGGAAGGUCCCCCACAUUGGAACUGAGACACGGUCCAA
rnacentral:rRNA from 1 species